rnacentral:rRNA from 1 species
GUCUGAUCUAUCCUCAGUAAGCUCGGGCUAAGUUCGUGCCAGCAGCCGCGGUAAGACGAACCGAGCGAACGUUGUUCGGAAUCACUGGGCUUAAAGGGCGCGUAGGCGGGCUGUCAAGUCUGGGGUGAAAUCCCACGGCUCAACCGUGGAACUGCCUCAGAUACUGACGGCCUCGAGGGAGGUAGGGGCGAGCGGAACUGUGAGUGGAGCGGUGAAAUGCGUUGAUAUUCACAGGAACUCCGGUGGCGAAGGCGGCUCGCUGGACCUCUUCUGACGCUGAGGCGCGAAAGCUAGGGGAGCAAACGGGAUUAGAUACCCCGGUAGUCCUAGCCGUAAACGAU